rnacentral:piRNA from 1 species
UAACGUUUGAAAUCUGUACAU